GCCGGAGGGAAAGAGAGAGAAAGAGAGCCAGGGACAAGAACGUCACAUUAGAAAGUGAUUUCAGUAGCACUGAGGUGUAUAUGGGUUGAUGCAGCAAAUCGGGUUCGAACCCAAAUGAAGUGAAUCGGACUGGUCAAUGUGACCUGCCAUCCUGAAUUCAACUCGUCGACUCAUGAGAAUGAUAUUUGUCUUCUGAAGCCGUCAGCUCCUGUGAACUUCACAGACUACAUUCAGCCGAUCUGCUUAGCCUCAGAAAACAGCACAUUCGACAAUGAGACCAGCAGCUGGUUAUCAGUUUUGGUGAUGCUGAUGGCCUGACGCAGCAGGUAGGGGCGAACUCUAUGUCUGAGUUUGUCUUUGCUCAAGCAGUCCAGAAAUGGCUCAGAUACGCUCCGGAUCGUAUGGGUGGCGCAGGACGCACAUCAUCCAUCCCCAUCCCGGAGUAAAAAUUAAAAAGUGACGUGAAACAUAGAAAUCUUAAUAGGAAACUUUGUCUUUUAAUAAAGUAUUUUGUAAACGAUACAUGUCUAUUGACCUUUUUUUGUUUAGUUUUUUUUCUCUGUUAC
ensembl:lncRNA